rnacentral:rRNA from 1 species
GACGAACGCUGGCGGCGUGCUUAACACACGCAAGUCGAACGGAGUGGCGGACGGGUGAGUAACGCGUGAGCAACCUGCCCAUAAGAGGGGGAUAACAUCGGGAAACCGAUGCUAAUACCGCAUACUUAUGGAGGGGCUCGCGUCCCAUUAGGUAGAUGGUGAGGUAACGGCCCACCAUGCCACGAUGGGUAGCCGGACUGAGAGGUUGAACGGCCACACUGGGACUGAGACACGGCCCAGACUCCUACGGGAGGCAGCAGUGGGGAAUAUUGGGCAAUGGGGGAAACCCUGACCCAGCAACGCCGCGUGAAGGAAGAAGGUUUUCGGAUUGUAAACUUCUGUCCUAAGGGAAGCGGUACCUUAGGAAGAAGCCCCGGCUAACUACGUGCCAGCAGCCGCGGUAAUACGUAGGGGGCAAGCGUUGUCCGGAAUUAUUGGGCGUAAAGGGUGCGUAGGCGGCCGACAAGUCGGGUGUGAAAGACCCGUGCUUAACAUGGGGGUUGCACUUGAAACUGGUUGGCUUGAGUAUGGGAGAGGCAAGCGGAAUUCCCGGUGUAGCGGUGAAAUGCGUAGAGAUCGGGAGGAACACCAGUGGCGAAGGCGGCUUGCUGGACCAAAACUGACGCUGAGGCACGAAAGCGUGGGUAGCAAACAGGAUUAGAUACCCUGGUAGUCCACGCCGUAAACGAUGGAUACUAGGUGUGGGGCUGUGCCGGAGCAAACGCAAUAAGUAUCCCGCCUGGGGAGUACGAUCGCAAGAUUGCAACUCAA